AUCAAGCCAACAGCAUGGAUGAACACAUUCAGUAUCUCGAGACACUUUGUUGUCUUUGUGGCACAAAUCUGCCACGGACCUGGGUCAGUGCUACAAACAAAGAAUCUUUUAAAUCGGAGCUCUGGAUGAAAUUUCGAAUCAAUGUCGAUCUUGACAUCAGAGAGAUUCAUUCAGCCAAGGCGAAUGCACACUAAAAAAUAAUUUCAGGAAACCACGGAUCUAACACAUAAAUGUGAUUAUCCAGCGAGUAAGUUCUCCUUCGGGCAAACAUAAAACAAAGAGGUAUUCGUUCACUGAGCUCUCACAUCUUUAGGUAUCGUAUCCGGGAAAUGUGCGAUAAGAGCGGCAUGAAGAUGAAAAUAAAGAAAUCACAUUGGUGGAAAGCCUUGCCGAAGUGUCUCUAUUACAGCAUUCCGGAAACAAAGGUAUCAUAAUUUCAAGAUCAAAGCUCCACGUGGAACACCGCUUGUUAUUCAAAGUGAAGACGACGACACGUAUGACUCGCAUGCACUGGCUUGUCUUCUUCCACGAGAAAUGGAACGCAUUCCAGAGGCUCUACGAGAAGUCAAGAUUUUCAGCAAAUCGCAGAGAAAGACAUACACUUUAGGAGAUGUCAAAGGGCAGCAGAUCGGCACGGUUCAGCACUUUCUAAACAUACAGCUGCAUGCUUUGCUUCGAUGUGGCAAAAUAACCAGGAAUUGAAGGGGAAAUCAACGGAGAACGGAC